GGCUAACUACGUGCCAGCAGCCGCGGUAAUACGUAGGGGGCGAGCGUUGUCCGGAAUUAUUGGGCGUAAAGGGUUCGCAGGCGGUCUGAUAAGUCAGAUGUGAAAGGCGUAGGCUCAACCUACGUAAGCAUUUGAAACUGUCAGACUUGAGUUAAGGAGAGGAAAGUGGAAUUCCUAGUGUAGCGGUGAAAUGCGUAGAUAUUAGGAGGAAUACCAGUGGCGAAGGCGACUUUCUGGACUUAUACUGACGCUGAGGAACGAAAGCGUGGGGAGCAAACAGGAUUAGAUACCCCUGUAGUC
rnacentral:rRNA from 1 species